UCACCUCUCUUUGCCUUUUGGCUUAGAUCAAGUGUAGUAUCUGUUCUUUUCAGUUUGAAAACUGAGUAUGUCGGUAUUAACCGACUAUCAUUUUCAACUUCUUUUUGAGAAGCGGGUGCCGGCCUCUGGCUUGCUAUGUCGGGACCCACAGAUGGCCUUGGUACUGCACUACCGCCUUGAGCUGUCGAACACAU
rnacentral:snRNA from 1 species